AAAGAGUGUUUUGAGCAGUGAAAGACUUCUAAUCUUUCCCUAAGCAGUUAAAUUCUGCUUACUCUUUU
rnacentral:tRNA from 1 species